UACGUAGGGAGCAAGCGUUGUCCGGAAUCAUUGGGCGUAAAGCGCGCGUAGGCGGCCCUGUAAGUCCGUUGUGAAAGUCAAAGGCUCAACCUUUGAAAGCCGAUGGAUACUGCAGGGCUAGAGUCCGGAAGAGGCGAGUGGAAUUCCUGGUGUAGCGGUGAAAUGCGCAGAUAUCAGGAAGAACACCCGUGGCGAAGGCGGCUCCUCUGGGGACGGUACUGACGCUGAGGGACGAAAGCUAGGGGAGCGAAUGGG
rnacentral:rRNA from 1 species